rnacentral:rRNA from 1 species
UGAACGCUGGCGGCGUGCUUAACACAUGCAAGUCGAACGAGAACGGUCCUUCGGGAUGUCAGCUAAGUGGCGGACGGGUGAGUAAUGUAUAGUUAAUCUGCCCUUUAGAGGGGGAUAACAGUUGGAAACGACUGCUAAUACCCCAUACUCCUUUUACCUUAAUGGUAAAUGGGAAACGUUUUUUCGCUAAAGGUUGAGACUAUAUGGUAUCAGGUAGUUGGUGGGGUAAGAGCCUACCAAGCCAAUGACGCCUAGCUGGUCUGAGAGGAUGAUCAGCCACACUGGAACUGAGACACGGUCCAGACUCCUACGGGAGGCAGCAGUGGGGAAUAUUGCACAAUGGAGGAAACUCUGAUGCAGCAACGCCGCGUGGAGGAUGACGCAUUUCGGUGAGUAAACUCCUUUUAUAUGGGAAGAUAAUGACGGUACCAUAUGAAUAAGCACCGGCUAACUCC